UACGUAGGGGGCAAGCGUUGUCCGGAUUUAUUGGGCGUAAAGAGCGUGUAGGCGGCCAUACAGGUCCGUUGUGAAAACUCGAGGCUUAACCUCGAGACGUCGAUGGAAACCGUAUGGCUAGAGUCCGGAAGAGGAGAGUGGAAUUCCUGGUGUAGCGGUGAAAUGCGCAGAUAUCAGGAAGAACACCCGUGGCGAAGGCGGCUCUCUGGGACGGUACUGACGCUGAGACGCGAAAGCGUGGGGAGCGAAUGGG
rnacentral:rRNA from 1 species